rnacentral:rRNA from 1 species
CCCCGUUGGGGGGGUGCUAUACAUGCAAGUCGAACGAACUCUGGUAUUGAUUGGUGCUUGCAUCAUGAUUUACAUUUGAGUGAGUGGCGAACUGGUGAGUAACACGUGGGAAACCUGCCCAGAAGCGGGGGAUAACACCUGGAAACAGAUGCUAAUACCGCAUAACAACUUGGACCGCAUGGUCCGAGUUUGAAAGAUGGCUUCGGCUAUCACUUUUGGAUGGUCCCGCGGCGUAUUAGCUAGAUGGUGGGGUAACGGCUCACCAUGGCAAUGAUACGUAGCCGACCUGAGAGGGUAAUCGGCCACAUUGGGACUGAGACACGGCCCAAACUCCUACGGGAGGCAGCAGUAGGGAAUCUUCCACAAUGGACGAAAGUCUGAUGGAGCAACGCCGCGUGAGUGAAGAAGGGUUUCGGCUCGUAAAACUCUGUUGUUAAAGAAGAACAUAUCUGAGAGUAACUGUUCAGGUAUUGACGGUAUUUAACCAGAAAGCCACGGCUAACUACGUGCCAGCAGCCGCGGUAAUACGUAGGUGGCAAGCGUUGUCCGGAUUUAUUGGGCGUAAAGCGAGCGCAGGCGGUUUUUUAAGUCUGAUGUGAAAGCCUUCGGCUCAACCGAAGAAGUGCAUCGGAAACUGGGAAACUUGAGUGCAGAAGAGGACAGUGGAACUCCAUGUGUAGCGGUGAAAUGCGUAGAUAUAUGGAAGAACACCAGUGGCGAAGGCGGCUGUCUGGUCUGUAACUGACGCUGAGGCUCGAAAGUAUGGGUAGCAAACAGGAUUAGAUACCCUGGUAGUCCAUACCGUAAACGAUGAAUGCUAAGUGUUGGAGGGUUUCCGCCCUUCAGUGCUGCAGCUAACGCAUUAAGCAUUCCGCCUGGGGAGUACGGCCGCAAGGCUGAAACUCAAAGGAAUUGACGGGGGCCCGCACAAGCGGUGGAGCAUGUGGUUUAAUUCGAAGCUACGCGAAGAACCUUACCAGGUCUUGACAUACUAUGCAAAUCUAAGAGAUUAGACGUUCCCUUCGGGGACAUGGAUACAGGUGGUGCAUGGUUGUCGUCAGCUCGUGUCGUGAGAUGUUGGGUUAAGUCCCGCAACGAGCGCAACCCUUAUUAUCAGUUGCCAGCAUUAAGUUGGGCACUCUGGUGAGACUGCCGGUGACAAACCGGAGGAAGGUGGGGAUGACGUCAAAUCAUCAUGCCCCUUAUGACCUGGGCUACACACGUGCUACAAUGGAUGGUACAACGAGUUGCGAACUCGCGAGAGUAAGCUAAUCUCUUAAAGCCAUUCUCAGUUCGGAUUGUAGGCUGCAACUCGCCUACAUGAAGUCGGAAUCGCUAGUAAUCGCGGAUCAGCAUGCCGCGGUGAAUACGUUCCCGGGCCUUGUACACACCGCCCGUCACACCAUGAGAGUUUGUAACACCCAAAGUCGGUGGGGUAACCUUUUAGGAACCAGCCGCCUAAGGUGAAACAAGAUUUG